rnacentral:rRNA from 1 species
AUGCAAGUCGAGCGAUGAAGCUUCCUUCGGGAAGUGGAUUAGCGGCGGACGGGUGAGUAACACGUGGGUAACCUGCCUCAAAGUGGGGGAUAGCCUUCCGAAAGGAAGAUUAAUACCGCAUAAUAUAGGAGAAUCGCAUGAUUUUCUUAUCAAAGAUUUAUUGCUUUGAGAUGGACCCGCGGCGCAUUAGCUAGUUGGUAAGGUAACGGCUUACCAAGGCAACGAUGCGUAGCCGACCUGAGAGGGUGAUCGGCC